rnacentral:rRNA from 1 species
AUACGUAGGGGGCGAGCGUUGUCCGGAAUUACUGGGUGUAAAGGGAGCGUAGGCGGGAGUGCAAGUCAGAUGUGAAAUACAUGGGCUCAACCCAUGGGCUGCAUUUGAAACUGCAUUUCUUGAGUGAAGUAGCGGUAAGCGGAAUUCCUGGUGUAGCGGUGAAAUGCGUAGAUAUCAGGAGGAACACCGGUGGCGAAGGCUGCUUACUGGGCUUUGACUGACGCUGAGGCUCGAAAGCGUGGGGAGCAAACAGGAGUAGAUACCCUGGUAGUCCACGCUGUAAGCGAUGAUUACUAGGUGUGGGGGUACUGACCCCUUCCGUGCCGCAGUUAACACAAUAAGUAAUCCACCUGGGGAGUACGUCCGCAAGGUUGAAACUCAAAUGAAUGGACGG